rnacentral:rRNA from 1 species
GCUCAGAACGAACGCUGGCGGCAGGCUUAACACAUGCAAGUCGAACGCCCGAGCAAUCGGGAGUGGCAGACGGGUGAGUAACACGUGGGAACAUACCCUCAGGUUCGGAACAACGCCGGGAAACUGGCGCUAAUACCGGAUACGCCCUGUGAAGGGGAAAGGCUUGCUGCCUGAGGAGUGGCCCGCGUUCGAUUAGCUAGAUGGCGGGGUAACGGCCCACCAUGGCGACGAUCGAUAGCUGGUCUGAGAGGAUGGCCAGCCACAUUGGGACUGAGACACGGCCCAAACUCCUACGGGAGGCAGCAGUGGGGAAUAUUGGACAAUGGGCGCAAGCCUGAUCCAGCCAUGCCGCGUGAGUGAUGAAGGCCUUAGGGUUGUAAAGCUCUUUCGCACGCGACGAUAAUGACGGUAGCGUGAGAAGAAGCCCCGGCUAACUUCGUGCCAGCAGCCGCGGUAAUACGAAGGGGGCUAGCGUUGUUCGGAAUCACUGGGCGUAAAGGGUGCGCAGGCGGGUUCAUAAGUCAGGGGUGAAAUCCCGAGGCUCAACCUCGGAACUGCCUUUGAUACUGUGGAUCUUGAGUCCGGAAGAGGUGAGUGGAACUGCGAGUGUAGAGGUGA